rnacentral:rRNA from 1 species
ACUCCUAGGGAGGCAGCAGUGAGGAAUAUUGGACAAUGGGCGGGAGCCUGAUCCAGCCAUGCCGCGUGCAGGAAGACGGUCCUAUGGAUUGUAAACUGCUUUUGUACGGGAAAAACAAGGGGCACGUGUGCCCCUCUGACGGUACCGUAAGAAUAAGGAUCGGCUAACUCCGUGUCAGCAGCCGCGGUAAUACGGAGGAUCCGAGCGUUAUCCGGAAUCAUUGGGUUUAAAGGGUCCGUAGGCGGGCCGUUAAGUCAGGGGUGAAAGUCUGCGGCUCAACCGUAGGACUGCCCUUGAUACUGGCGGCCUUGAGUUAUGGUGAAGUGGCUAGAAUAUGUGGUGUAGCGGUGAAAUGCAUAGAUAUCACAUGGAAUACCGAUUGCGAAGGCAGGCCACUAACCAUAUACUGACGCUGAUGGACGAAAGCGUGGGGAGCGAACAGGAUUAGAUACCCUGGUAG